GUCGGUCUUCGGUAGUGGCCUGUCGGAGGGUUCGCCCAUCCGACGGGCUUCGAUCGACGGCCGCC
rfam:Rhodococcus kyotonensis strain KB10 scaffold3.1, whole genome shotgun sequence.